rnacentral:rRNA from 1 species
GACGAACCGUGCGAACGUUGUUCGGAAUCACUGGGCUUAAAGGGCGCGUAGGCGGGCGGCCGCGUCCGGGGUGAAAUCCCACGGCUCAACCGUGGAACGGCCUCGGAUACGGGCGGCCUCGAGGGGGGUAGGGGCAUCUGGAACUGUGAGUGGAGCGGUGAAAUGCGUUGAUAUUCACAGGAACUCCGGUGGCGAAGGCGAGGUGCUGGACCCCAUCUCGACGCUGAGGCGCGGAAAGCCA